GACGAACGCUGGCGGCGUGCUUAACACAUGCAAGUCGAACGGUGAAGCGCCUUCCUUUUUGGUGGGUGUGGAUGAGUGGCGAACGGGUGAGUAACACGUGAGUAACCUGCCCCCUUCUUCUGGAUAACCGCAUGAAAGUGUGGCUAAUACGGGAUAUUCUGGGUCUGUCGCAUGAUGGGUCUGGGAAAGAUAUUGUUUCGGUGGGGGAUGGGCUCGCGGCCUAUCAGCUUGUUGGUGGGGUGAUGGCCUACCAAGGCGGUGACGGGUAGCCGGCCUGAGAGGGUGGACGGUCACACUGGGACUGAGACACGGCCCAGACUCCUACGGGAGGCAGCAGUGGGGAAUAUUGCACGAUGGGCGCAAGCCUGAUGCAGCGACGCCGCGGGAGGGAUGGAGGCCUUCGGGUUGUGAACCUCUUUCGCCAGUGAAGCAGGCCUGCCUCGUUUGUGGGUGGGUUGACGGUAGCUGGAUAAGAAGCGCCGGCUAACUACGUG
rnacentral:rRNA from 1 species